rnacentral:tRNA from 1 species
GGGGGCGAUGAGCCUGGUGGCUCACCCUGGCUGUAAACCAGGUGCCUUGCGCAGGGCAGGUUCGAUCCCUGCCGCCCCCA